CGGGCUGUAGUAUAGAGGUAGUACACAAGGCUGGGGGUCUUGUAGCCGGGGUCCGAUUCCCCGCAGCCCGACAA
rnacentral:tRNA from 3 species